rnacentral:rRNA from 1 species
UACGUAGGAGGCAAGCGUUGUCCGGAAUCACUGGGCGUAAAGCGCGUGUAGGCGGAUCGCUAAGUCUGUGGUGAAAGCGCCUGGCUUAACCGGGCGAGGUCCAUGGAAACUAGCGGUCUGGAGGCCGGUAGAGGGGGGUGGAAUUCCGGGUGUAGUGGUGAAAUGCGUAGAGAUCCGGAGGAACACCAGUGGCGAAGGCGGCCCCCUGGGCCCGCGCCUGACGCUGAGACGCGAAAGCGCGGGGAGCGAACGGG